rnacentral:rRNA from 1 species
GUUGUAUGGUUAAGUGACUAAGCGUGCACGGUGGAUGCCUUGGCAGUCAGAGGCGAUGAAGGACGUGCUAACCUGCGUUAAGCACGGGUGAGCUGGUAAGAAGCGCUUGAGCC